GUCUCAGAAUCUGUCUCCGUUCCAGGUUCCUUGUCUACUUCCUCCCUCCUCUGUCUCAGAAUCUGUCUCCGUUCCAGGUUCCUUGUCUACUUCCUCCCUCCUCUGUCUCAGAAUCUGUCUCCGUUCCAGGUUCCUUGUCUACUUCCUCCUCAUCUUUCUUUUCCACAUGGUAUGAUUCAUCUCAUCCUCCUCUAUCCACUUUCUCUUUCUCCUCUUUUCCAUCUGUUGAACCUCCUCAGCUUUAGCCGGUGCCUCCUCCUCCUUCUCUCUCUCUCCUUCCCCUCUCCAUCCUUCAUUUCUCCAGGACCAGGUUCUCCAGACUUCCCUGUAGCUUGGUCUCCAGGCUCUUCUCCCCAACCACACUAUCUGAGUCCUCCUCUGUGGUCUUAGUAGACUCUUCCUUGUUAUCAU
rnacentral:lncRNA from 1 species